CAGUAGCCACGGUAAAACGUAGGGUGCAAGCGUUAACCGGAAUUAUUGGGCGUAAAGGGCUCGCAGGCGGUUUCUUAAGUCUGAUGUGAAAGCCCCCGGCUCAACCGGGGAGGGUCAUUGGAAACUGGGAGACUUGAGUGCAGAAGAGGAGAGUGGAAUUCCACGUGUAGCGGUGAAAUGCGUAGAGAUGUGGAGGAACACCAGUGGCGAAGGCGACUCUCUGGUCUGUAACUGACGCUGAGGAGCGAAAGCGUGGGGAGCAAACAGGAUUAGAUACCCCGGUAGUCCCUGUCUCUUAUAC
rnacentral:rRNA from 1 species